GUGCCAGCCGCCGCGGUAAUACGUAGGCAGCAAGCGUUGUUCGGAGUUACUGGGCGUAAAGAGUGCGUAGGUGGUGCUCUAAGUUUGGUGUGAAAUCUCCCGGCUCAACUGGGAGGGUGCGCCGAAAACUGGGGUGCUGGAGUGUGGGAGAGGAAAGCGGAAUUCCUGGUGUAGCGGUGAAAUGCGUAGAUAUCAGGAGGAACACCUGCGGUGUAGACGGCUUUCUGGACCACUACUGACACUGAGGCACGAAAGCGUGGGGAGCAAACAGGAUUAGAUACCCUGGUAGUCC
rnacentral:rRNA from 1 species